rnacentral:misc_RNA from 1 species
AACCAUAGAAACCUGCGGAGUACCUGCGGAAGGAUCAUUACAGAGUUAUCCAACUCCCAAACCCAUGUGAACUUAUCUCUUUGUUGCCUCGGCGCAAGCUACCCGGGACCCAGCGCCCCGGGCGGCCCGCCGGCGGACAAACCAAAACUCUUGUUAUCUUAGUUGAUUAUCUGAGCGUCUUAUUUAAUAAGUCAAAACUUUUAGCAACGGAUCU